ACAUGUCUAAGUAUAAGCAAUUAUACCGCGAAACUGCGAAUGGCUCAUUAAAUCAGUUAUCGUUUAUUUGAUAGUACCUUACUACUUGGAUAACCGUGGUAAUUCUAGAGCUAAUACAUGCUAAAAAUCCCGACUCACGGAGGGAUGUAUUUAUUAGAUUAAAAACCAAUGCCCCUCGGGGCUUUCUGGUGAUUCAUAAUAACUUCUCGAAUCGCAUGGCCUUGCGCCGGCGAUGGUUCAUUCAAAUUUCUGCCCUAUCAACUUUCGAUGGCAGGGUCUUGGCCUGCCAUGGUUACAACGGGUAACGGAGGGUUAGGGCUCGACCCCGGAGAAGGAGCCUGAGAAACGGCUACUACAUCCAAGGAAGGCAGCAGGCGCGCAAAUUACCCAAUCCCGACACGGGGAGGUAGUGACAAUAAAUACUGAUACAGGGCUCUUUUGGGUCUUGUAAUUGGAAUGAGUACAAUUUAAAUCCCUUAACGAGGAACAAUUGGAGGGCAAGUCUGGUGCCAGCAGCCGCGGUAAUUCCAGCUCCAAUAGCGUAUAUUAAAGUUGUUGCAGUUAAAAAGCUCGUAGUUGAACCUUGGGCCUGGCUGGCCGGUCCGCCUCACCGCGUGCACUGGUUCGGCCGGGCCUUUCCCUCUGGGGAGCCCUAUGGUAUUCAUUUAUCGUAGCGGGGAACCAGGACUUUUACUGUGAAAAAAUUAGAGUGUUCAAAGCAGGCCUAUGCUCGAAUACAUCAGCAUGGAAUAAUAGAAUAGGACGUGUGGUUCUAUUUUGUUGGUUUCUAGGACCGCCGUAAUGAUUAAUAGGGACAGUCGGGGGUGUCAGUAUUCAAUUGUCAGAGGUGAAAUUCUUGGAUUUAUUGAAGACUAACUACUGCGAAAGCAUUCACCAAGGAUGUUUUCAUUAAUCAGGAACGAAAGUUAGGGGAUCGAAGACGAUU
rnacentral:rRNA from 1 species